rnacentral:lncRNA from 1 species
AAAAAAAAAAAAAAAAGUGGGGGUUAAAUUUCAAAAUUUGGAUUUUGAGGGCAUUUUAAUCAAAUAACCCUAAAAAAUUAAAGAUAUGUUGCCGGGGAUUAAGGAGACUUCGUUUGGUCCUAGCCCCUUGUAAAAUUAAAGAUAUUUUUGUAUGAUGUCUUGUCCAUCAUAAAAAAAUUACUCAGAGAUGGUGUCGUUUGGUAAAGAGACCGAGCUCGUGGAUGGAAGCUCUGGCCCACAUCCGAAGAUUUGAUAACGACGUAUAAAGUAUAAACUACCCUAGGCCUCCGCUUAUAACUUCAUUUGUGCGUUCCUUCCCAGAAUUUGAUUCAAGAUUAGCCCUACAGCCUUUUCAGCUGAUCCAAUUUCAUAGAUUACAUGGAUGCGCCAGUUCUUUUGCUUCUUCUCGCUCUGCUUCUAUCUUCUCCACUUCCAUCGUCUACCCUCGACAGUUUGAGUCAAGGCUCAUCCCUAUCAGUUGGGAAGCCUGAACAAGUUUUAAUUUCACAAAGUGGAAUCUUUUCAGCCGGCUUCUACCCCGUCGGUGACAAUGCUUAUUGUCUUGCCAUAUGGUUCACCAAACCAUCCUACGACGGCAAACAUACGGUUGUUUGGAUGGCAAACCGAAACCAACCAGUUAAUGGGAAUUUCUCAAAGCUUUCCCUGCUAAAAAAUGGUGAACUUAUCUUAACAGAUGCCGGGCGGUUCAUAGUUUGGACCACAAAGGCGGUUGGGGUUUCUCCGGUGCGAUUACAUCUCUUCAACACUGGUAACCUUGUGUUGCGUACCUCGGAUGGUGUUAUUCAAUGGCAAAGUUUCGAUUCACCAACAGAUACCCUUCUCCCUCACCAGCCACUCACCAGAAAUACGAGACUUGUCUCUUCAAGAACCAAAACCAACUUUUUCUCAGGGUUUUAUAAGCUCUAUUUUGACAACAGUAACGUCCUCAGUCUUGUGUUCGAUGGGCCAAACGUUUCAAGCGUUUACUGGCCCCCAUCGUGGCUUGUAAGCUGGCAGGCGGGCAGAUCGGCAUACAAUAGCAGCAGAAUUGCAUUACUAGAUUACUUUGGCUAUUUUUCUUCAUCCGACGGUUUUAAGCUUCAGUCCUCGGAUUUUGGUGAGAGAGUCCGGCGAAGAUUGACCCUGGAUAUUGAUGGCAACUUACGAUUAUACAGUUUUGAGGAAGAGAGAAAUAAGUGGGUUGUUACUGGGGAAGCCAUCACGGAACAAUGCAAAGUUCAUGGAAUAUGCGGACCCAACAGUGUUUGUACCUAUGUGCCCGGUUCUGGGAGUGGAAGGAGAUGCUCUUGCAUACCUGGAUAUGAGGUGAAAAAUCGCACUGACCGAACUUAUGGAUGCAUACAAAAAUUCAAUCUUUCUUGCAACUCACAGAAGGUUGGUUUCCUCCUACUCCCACACGUGGAGUUCUACGGCUAUGAUUAUGACUGUUACCCCAAUUACACCUUACAGAUGUGUAAAAAACUGUGCUUGGAAAAAUGCGGUUGCAUAGGAUUUCAAUACAAGUACGAUCAUAUAUGUUAUCCUAAGCGGAUGUUACUCAACGGAUACCGCUCACCUAGUUUUGAAGGACAUAUAUAUCUAAAAUUGCCCAAAGCUAGUCUCCUUUCCUAUGACAAACCCGUUGAGGAAUUCAUGUUAGAUUGCUCGGAAAACCGCACAGAGCAGCUAGUAAGAACCUAUUCAAAAGCCCAUGAAAAUGGAGUGUUAAAGUCCAUCCUCUGGUUUGUCUGUGCAAUUGGAGGAGUUGAGAUGAUUUGCAUCUGUGUGGUGUGUUGUUUCUUGAUGAUGAAGGCCCAGCAAAACACCAAUACAGAUCCGCCAGGCUACAUUUUAGCCGCCACGGGAUUCAGAAAAUUCACCUAUACUGAGCUGAAGAAAGCAACACGGGGUUUCAGUGAGGAGAUUGGAAGAGGAGGAGGUGGGAUUGUAUAUAAAGGUGUCUUGUCAGACCACCGAGUAGCAGCCAUCAAGCAGCUCAAUGGAGCUAACCAAGGAGAAGCUGAAUUUUUGGCAGAAGCAAGCACCAUUGGGAGGCUUAACCACAUGAACUUGAUAGAGAUGUGGGGUUAUUGCUUUGAGGGGAAGCACAGGCUCUUGGUUUAUGAAUACAUGGAGCAUGGAUCACUAGCACAAAACCUCACUUCCAAUACACUUGAUUGGCAGAAGAGGUUCAAUAUUGCGGUGGGCACAGCAAAAGGUCUGGCUUAUUUACACGAAGAGUGCUUGGAGUGGGUUCUACACUGCGAUGUGAAGCCUCAAAACAUACUCCUAGACUCUAAUUAUCAGCCAAAGGUGGCAGACUUCGGCCUGUCAAAGUUACAGAACAGAGGAGGAAUCAACAAUUCAAGAUUGUCGAGGAUCAGAGGAACGAGAGGUUACAUGGCUCCAGAGUGGGUUUUGAACCUCCCCAUCACGUCCAAAGUAGACGUUUAUAGCUAUGGUAUUGUGGUUCUGGAGAUGAUUACCGGUCUAAGAAGUGUUGCAAAUGCCAUCCACGGUACAGAUGGCAUAGGGGAACGUCAGAGUUUGGUGGCAUGGGUGAAAGGGAAGAUGAAUAGUGCAACUGCAGUUGCUUCGUGGAUUGAAGAAAUCCUAGACCCGUCGAUGGAAAGCAAAUAUGACAUGGGUGAGAUGGAAAUUCUAGUAUCAGUGGCUCUGCAAUGUGUGGAAUUGGAUAAAGAUGAAAGACCCACCAUGAGUCAGGUGGUCGAGCUGCUUCUCCGCCGUGGAUGUUGAUACAAUUAUCACUACUGAUAAAUUAAUACCUCCUAUGGGGCCAGCCAAGUAUGGCAGCUUUCUGAACCUAUUCCGCCCAUUUAUGAUAUUCGUAAAAAAAACAUUGUUAUUUUUGCUACCCUCCUCAAUAAAGAUUCUACUAAUAAAUAUUAUAUAGAAUUUUAUUCCCAAUAUCUCUCUUUGGUGCUCUUAUCUUAUUUUAUAAAAUCAUUUUUAAAAUUUGUUGAAUUUGAUAUAUUUUACCCUCACAUAAUUUGUAGCAGGAAAAGUUUCUCUCUUCAUCAUACAACAAAUUCUUUUCUAUGUAGUAUACAUAUAUGAAAGCUAUAAAUGGCUUUAGCUUUAAUUGAAAUCAUAUAAUUUCUCAUUGAAUCUAAUCUAACGUGACUUUAAAAAUUUUCAAAAUAUAAAUCAAUUCCUCCUGCUUAAACAUAACACUAUAAUUGCAUCUGUGCCUUGGUGCUUUCUGUGUUAGUGAAUGAAUUAGUUUAAAUAUUGACUUUUUAGACAACAAUUUUAAAGAGCUCAUGCGUCACACUAUCAAUUCAACCUUCUUUGAUAUUUAUUUAUUUAUUUAUUUUAAUUACCUUUCGAUGGUAUCAUUGCUUGGAAAAUUUUGAUGAACGUGAAAGGGAAAUGGAAAAUCGUGGGGCACACGUCCAUUAUGGAGUCAAAAUCUUUGAAAGAUGUAAAAUUGUCGUGCAAUUCAAUCUAAUGUAGAUGGACAAAAAUGCCAUUUUAUUGAUCAAGCAUAGAUGAAUGUGGAAAUGACGCAACGCAUCAAAUCAGACUUGGCGGAUGACAUGUAAAAUGCAAAAUUAAAUAAUGAUUGAAAAUCAAAUGAAUGAGCCACCCAGCAAAUGUCUAGUUUCAAGUCUUUCAUUUUUUUUUUCAACUUAAGACCUCUUUUUGGAAAUUUAUUAUUAAAAAUAUUUUAAUCUCUAAUUUUUCAUAAGUUUCUUUUCAUAAACAUGUUGACUGGCUUCAGGGAAAUAAACAAAAAUAUAUUUUUAAAUUAUUUAAUCUAACUUUAAAAAGAUAAGUAAAAUUUUAUUAAAAUAAUUUAUUAAUUUUAAAUUUAUAUUUUAUUUUCAUUCAUUUGACAUACCUUCAAUAAUUAGUAUAAAAUUAAUAUAAAUGUUUUAUAUAAUCCGUUUACAUGCAUGGUAUAUUAUGUACAAACAGGAACAAAAUGAAUGAGGCACUGUAUGUGACAAAUAAAUACAUUUUUAUAAAAUUUAAAUUUAAUUUUAUAGUAUAUGACAUGGAUUCUGGCGUCAUCUUCCACAUCACUGAACUUCAUCUUCACCUAUUUUCAUCAUUCUAUGUUUCCAACGCUUCCCACUAUGAACGUCUCUAGAAAAAACUGCCCGAUGUGGCUCUCCUCUUGGCUCUACCACAGUUAAGAUUUUCGGCUUGAUGUCGUGUACCUGCAAUUUACACGAUGUGUUCUCAUUCGAUGGCGAAUUCACUUUAAAUUUAUUCGAUAAAAAUAUGGUUUUUAGAUUAAACUGUUUAUUUUUUAUUUUUUUUAAGGGAAAACAAGAUAAGAAAUAAAAUCUUAAGUGUGACUCUUUAUUUGGGAAAGACGGUCUGUGGAAAACUAAAAUCAAGUUUGAGGGUCAGGUUAUUUAUUGGAAAGGUAUGAUAAAAGACUGUAACACUCCUCUAAAUCCCUAAAAACGGGUCUCUAUUAAAUAAGGUGAAACAAGUGUUACAAUUGAUAAGGAAAUUAAUAGAUACCAAUAAAAUGAUCAAAUAAUAAAACGAAUCAUAAAUAAGAAUAAGCAAAGUGAGAGUGAGAUCAUACCUUAGCAGCAAGUAAUAAUGCGUUAUCAUGAAAACAAUAUUAGUUCAAGUAUAAAAUUAUCACAUGCAUAUUAAAGAGUAAAACAAAGAUCAAGUAAUAUUCAUUAAACAUAACAAUUAACAAUCAAAAGAGAAAACUCAUAUAUAGGGCCCUACCAAAGUCCAAUUGAUUUUGCAUGAAUAAAUCCAACAAAUUUCAUUAUUUUAGAAUUAUAAAAAUCAUAUUCAUACUUAUUUAAAAUCAAGAAAAUCGAAAAAUUAUUUAAAGAUCAAAAAAAAUUUGUGAAAGUACUUACCUGAAGGGAAAUGUAACAAGUUUAUUAAAAACGAGAUUUUUGGAAAUUAUUUGAAAAUUGAAAUCUUAAAAAUUAAAUUUAAAAAUUGAAAUUUAAAAAAAAAAAAUUGAAAAUUGGAGUUUUGAAAAUUGGAAUUUUGAAAAAUUAUUUGAAAAUGAGAGUUUUGAAAAUUGGAAAUUUGGAAGAGUAUUUGAAAAUGGGAAUUUUGGAAAGUGAUUUGAAAAUGGGAAUUUUGAAAAAUGAUUUGAAAAUGGAAGUUUUGAAAAUUGGAAUUUUGAAGAACUAUUUGACAAUGAAAUUUUUAAAAAUUAUUCGAGAAUGGAAGUUUUGAGAAUUGAAGUUUUGAAAAUUAGAAUUUUGAAAAUUAUUUAAGAAUUAGAGUUUUGAAAAUUAUUUGAAAUUUGAAAAUUUGAAAAUUAAAUUUAGAAAUUGAAGUUUUGAAAAUUAAAUUUGAAAAUUGAAGUUUUGAAUAUUGGAAUUUUGAAAAUUAAAUUUAGAAAUUAGAGUUUUGAAAAUUGGAGUUUUGAAAUUUAUUUUAAAAUUAUUUGAGAAUUGAAGUUUUGAAAAUUAUUUGAAAAUUAAAUUUGAAAAUUGGAAUUUUGGAAAAUUAUUUGAUGAUUGAAGUUUUAAAAAUUAAAUCUGGAAAUUGAAAUUUUGGAAAAUUAUUCGAGAAUAAAAGUUUUGAGAAUGAGAUUUCUUAAAAAUUAAAUUUGAAAAUUAGAAUUUUAAAAAAUUAUUUGAGAAUUGAAUUUUUAAAAAUUAAAAUAAAUUUUGAAGGUCGGAACAAAUCAUCUCAUUGACCUUAUCCCCGUUCUUGUAAAUCUUGAAGGUUGGAACACUUUUUAUGCUCUCAGUUUUUGCUACUGUUGGGCUCUCCUCCACAUCCAUCUUGAGAAAUUUUAUGGAUUGGUAUUGAACACAGAGCUUAUCCAUGAUGGGGGAGACCUGUUCACACUGGUAAUUGGAUGCCACUUUGAAGUGAACCACCGAAACACCAGGUGAAGAUAUUGCAGUUUUAAACUGGUCGACACCAGAAACCUCCUCCACUUCACCACCAAACUUCACACUAUGAGUUUCAUCCUCCCAUGAUUUUGACAAUGCAGCUUGUGCCUGUGAUAGAGAUUCAACAACCUCGACGUCUCCAGGAAGUUCCCUUCUCAAGACCUCAUAAUCUUUUACUACAUCUGCCCAUCGUCCAAGCUUCCCAUUUGAGACAGCUCUAUGAAGAAGAGCCUUGGUGUAAUUUGGUUGGAUCUUGAGGGCAUGGUUGCAUUCCUCAAUAGAUUUUUCCCAUAAACCAAGUUUAGACCAGCAAACUACUCUAUUGCAAUAUAGAACAGAGUUCGAUGUAUCAUACUUGAGGCCUUCCCCGUAAGCUAAGCAGGCUUCUGAAAAUCUUCCAGAACUAAAGAGUUCAUUGCCAUGGGCCUGCGCUCUUGCCACCAGUUUAACAUUGUUCAGCAAUUUUGCAACUUCAACAUUACUAUAAUCAAUCAACCCCGUCUUCUCUGCUGCCGCAACUUCCCAGUGCCAUCUCAACCUGAGCUCGAACAUAGAGAACAUAGGCUUCAGCAAUCACAUCGAAGAACUUGGUUGAGCGAGAAGGAGAAUAAUGUUCAAAUUUUGGAAUGCUUGAUAGGUAGGAAUCUGCAUCUUCAAUUUGGUGGAGCUUCAACAGGGCCUCUACUCUCCAUGAAAUGAGUUGAGGAUAAGAAUCUGCCCCGCCUGCAUUGGCUCAUCACAUUCCCUUAGUGUACUUUUCCAAUCACCAAUUUUCCAUGCAUCAGCACAUCGGUUCAAAUACUUCUCCAAAGAAAGCAACUUCUGAAGCUCAGAUGGAUCUGGCGGCUGCGCGCCCAGGUAAAAAGAGAUGGCGUCGGGCAAAAUCAACAUGCCCUAACCUGAAAGUGCUCCUCCAAUCUUCCAAAGACCGGUAAACUUCCUUCAUCCUUGCUACCCAUGACUCGCCUCCUGCAACUUCUCUAUCUAAUGCUCAGAUCAUUAUCAUUUGAAGCUCUCUCGUUCCAGUCAUCUCUCUUGCUCUGUUUUUCUGUUUUUCUCCCAAUCCCAAAAAGUCUCUUUCGUUCCUCCUCCUGGUACUCUGUUUCUUUUCGCUUUAAAUCAUCCCCUGUCUCAGUCCAGCUUUUCUUCUCCUAUCAGCUUCCCACCCGUUCCAUUGCUCCUGGUUCAGCAAAGAUGUCACCACCCUCAACCACCACCAUGGCAAGUUGGUAGUCCUUGCCACACGUCCCAGCAUGCAGCUCACCUGGAAAGCCAUCCCCCACUCUAAAUGAAAUGUUCAGCUCUUCUCGGGUGGCCAGCAGGUGGUGAGAAAAAAAAACUUUGGUCCAGAGAGGGGUCUACAGAUGCCUUCGAUCUAUUUCAGGUGGUCGGCUUUGGAGCAUGGAUGGCUGCAGAUCUGCCAAGUUGUUGGCCAUGAAUCUCCUGAAUCCACUUAUUGCUAACCGCUUGUAUUAUUCAACAGUUGAAGGCUGAUUUCAUUGAGUUGAAAGGCCAAUGGGCCAUGGGGAGCAAUGCUUGCUUCACCCAAUUUUUAAAAAUUCAUUUUUAGUAAUACAAAAAAAUUUAUUGUAUGAAGUAUUGAUGUUAUUAUUAUCUUUUUAUAUUGAUUUUAUUUUUUAUAUUUUUUUUCCUUAGGAUUUUCUUUCUUUUCACUUUUUCUCCCUCUUUUCUUUUAUUUAUAUUUUCUCAUAAUCAAAUAUCGACUUAGAAUUUAAUUGCAAACAAAGUGUUAUGUAAACAAUUAAUAUGGUCUUGCUAUUUUGCUUUUAUGGCCAUUAAAUUUAAGGACUUUGUGUGAUGGCAAUAGGGUGAUUUUUUUAAGGUACCUGUCCACCCUGGGCUUAAAAUUUAAAUAAAUAGGUUUGGAGCAGGUUUGAGUUUUUUUAAACUCAAGACGAGUUUGGAUAUUGUCCCACCCCAAUCAUAUACAAAAUUAAUUUAAUUUUUUAUUUUUCCAUUUUUAAUAAUAAUAAUAAUAAAAUACUUUUUAAUAAAAUAAGUUAUAAAAAAUUAUAAUACUUUAAUUAUGUAUAUAAUAUAUAUAUAUUUAUAUAAUUAAAUAAUUUAAAAAAAUUAAAAAAAAAAGUUUAAACAAAGCGGGAUAAGACAAGUAUGAGAAUUUCUCAUACCUAUCAUACCCUGCCUAUCACAUUUAAUUUUUUUAAUAGAACAAGGUUACAACAUGGGCUACCUAUUCUAAACCUGUCUCAUUAUCAUCCCUACAUGUGUUUGCAUGUAUAUAUGAUACAAGUGGAAAGUUUGAACUAUGAUAUUGAAAAUUCAAUUCACCAUUUAUUUUGUAAUUAUACAUCCAAAUAUAAGCAUGGAAAGGGGCGAAUUGACAUAAUAGAAGGCCUAACUGCUCAUGUUUUGUAUUUAUUUAAAUUAAUAUUUAUUAAUCAUUUAUUUAUGUAAUAAAAAAUUUGUAAUUCAAAAUUUGAUUUUACUAAGUGAAGUACCUGAUGACCAGAACUGGAGCAACCUAAAGAAAGAGAAGAACAAAAAAUACACCACGACAUAUCCCAAAAGCCUAAUGGCCCAUCCCCUAAAAAUACUAGCUUUAUAAUUAUUAUCGUAAAAGAAAGAGAUGAACAAGUGAUUUUUCGUCAUAUAAUGUUAAAAAAUUAAAGUAUUAAUUUUUUUUUUCUACUGAAAAUAAUUUAAUUUCAUAUUUCUAAUUGUUUUUUUUUUACUUUAUGUCACUUAUUAUUUAUUUUUAAAAUAUUUUUACUAAAUUUAAAAAAUAAAAAAAAAUUAAAUAUUAAAAUUAAUCUAUUGAUUUUUCUUUACUUAAUAAAAAUAAAAUAUUUAAAAAAUAAAUAAUUUAAUAAUUAAUAUUAUUAAACACUAUUUAAUUUUAAGUUAAAUUUGGAUUUAAGUCUAAAAAAAAUACCACUUAAAUGUCUUCAUUGCAACGAUGGACAUUAUUAACUCUACUUUUUUAUAAAAUCUUUUAUUUUAGGAAAUUUUAACUUCCAAAUGAAGUAGUUACGAGAAAAAUAACUAUUGUGGUUGAAUUUAUUUGAAAUAAAUAAACCAUAAAAAAAACACUUGAAUGGAUUAAGGACCGAUUUUUUACGCCAAGGUGGUGGUGAUAUAUUGAUUUGAGUAAGAAUUUUAUAAUUUCCCAAAAGAAAGAUAAAGAGGAAAAGCAACAUUUAUUAAAAGAUAGAUACAUUAGAAUAUCAUAUUCAAAUUUAGUAUUUUUCUUUUCUCUUCUUUAUAAAACUAAAUAAUAGAAAUCAAAUGCUUUUACCAACUUCUCAUACUGCACCGUUUCGUUUUUCACUUCAUCUAAUUUUACCUUCAAUUCAUUUUUUUCCCUAUUUUAUUUCUUGAAACAUGUAUUCACUAAAACCUCUGUACCAAUGUUUCAGGACAUGGAGAGGAAGCCAUCCUGCUCCGGCCUGUCCUCCGGGCACAUAAGCUUCUCAACUAUUUGGCUCAUCGUGGGUCUUGAGUCCCUGUCUCCCUUCACACAUUCCAAGGCAACUCCAAUCAGAAUUUCCAUCUGGCGCAUGUUGCAUUCGCCUUGCAUCACAGGGUCCAGGAUGUCUUCAAUCCACGACCCCCUGACACCAAUCCUAUUCAUUCGAUCCCUCACCCAUUUAAUCAACCCAGGCUGCUCUGUCUCUCCUUGGGCAUCAGUAUCGGGGAUAGCAGAUGGGCUCUUCCCUGUCACCAUCUCCAAAACCACGAUUCCAUAGCCAUAAACGUCUACCUUGGAGGUUAUGGGAAGGUUGAAUACCCAUUCAGGAGCCAUGUAUCCUCUGGUUCCUCUGACCCUCGAGAAACUUGAAUUGCCAAGCCCUCCUCUGUUACGCAGUUUCGACAUCCCAAAAUCUGCCACUUUUGGCUGGUAAUUAGAGUCCAAGAGUAUGUUCUGAGGCUUUACGUCACAGUGCAGAACCCACUCCAAGCAUUCUUCGUGUAAAUAAGCUAGGCCUCUGGCCGUGCCAAGCGCUAUUUGGAACCUCUUCUCCCAAUCAAGAGUAUUGGACGAUAGCUUUUGUGCCAAGGAUCCAUGUUCCAUGUACUCAUACACCAACAGCCGGUGCUUCCCCUCUAUGCAAUAUCCCCACGUCUCUAUUAAGUUCAUGUGAUUAAGCCUUCCAAUGGUGCUCACUUCUGCUAGAAAUUCUGCUUCUCCUUGAUUGGCUUCUUUGAGGCACUUGAUUGCUGCCACUCGACGAUCAAGCAAUACACCUUUAUAUACCAUUCCUCCACCUCCUCUUCCAAUCUCUUGGGUGAAACCUCGCGUGGCCUUCUUCAACUCUGCAUAACUGAAUCUUUUAAACCCGUUUGCAGCGAGGAUGUAACCUUGCAUAGUUGAGACUGGAUCAUGGUGUACCCUAAAUAGGAAAAGCCAUACCAGCAAGACAAUUGCCGUCUCUAGAACUCCCAGUCCAUAGGCAAACCAUAGCAAAAACUUCAAAAACUUCAAUGUUGUAUCUAGCUGUAUAUAACGAGUGUUGCCUGAACAAUUUAUGGUGAAUUCUUCAAGGGGAUCAUAUCUGGGAAAGAGACUAGCUUUAGGCAGUUUUAGAUACAAGGUUUCAGGAUAAUUUGGCGAACUGAAUCCAUUAAGCAAGAGGGCCACUGGGUAACAAUUGUAAACGCCGUCCCCAAAAUUUAGCAGGAAGGCCUUGCAUUUGCACAACUGUAAGCAUAGAUUUUCACAGCUUUCAUAGGUGUAAUUGGGGUAGUGACCAUAGUCAUAGCCGUAGAGUUGAACAUGAGGGAGUGGGAAGAAGCCCACCUCAGUUUGGUUACAAGCGAUAUCAGUUUCUGGUGCGCACCCAUAAGACCAGUCAGUUGAAUUUACAAUCUUGAAUCCAGGCAUGCAAGAGCAUCCUCUGCCAUAAGCAGGGGUGUAACUGCAGAGACUGUUGGGUCCGCAGAUGCCAUGAAUCUGGCAUGGUUGGGAGAUAGCCUGCCAUGAAACCGACCAGGUUCCUCUCGUUUCUUCUAGACUAUACAUUCUAAGAUUGCCAUCGAAAUCGAGGGUCAAUCUUCUCUGAGGCCCCGCACCAAAAUCCGCUGACCGAAAUUCCAAAUCAUCUGAUGCUCUAUAAUAACCCAAAGAAUCGAAUACUGCGAUUCGACUGUUGUUGUAUGUGCUCCUCGCAGCCUCCCAGGUCACCCGGCUUGGGUCUGGCCAGUAGAGGCUGGAAACCACAGGACCAUUGAAGAGAAGGCGGAUGACGUUAUCAAUGUCAAAAAAUAGCUUAUAAAAACCAGAAGAAUAGUUGCUUUGGCUUCUUGAUGAGAUAAGGCUGGUAUCUUUUGUCAGUAUCUGGUGAGGAAGAAGGGUAUCUGUGGGUGAGUCAAAGCUCUGCCAAAUCACCGUCUUCUCCCAAGCAUAUAGAACAAGAUUGCCGGUGUUAAGGAGCUGUAAUCUCACAUACGAGGUUGAAACGGUGUUGGUCAUCCAAACCAUGAUUUUGCCAGCAUCAGUUAAGAGGAGAUUGCCAUUCCUCAACAAAGAAAGCUUGGAGCCUCUACCGUUGACCGGUUGGUCACGGUUCGCCAUCCAAACUGUGGUUGCACCCCAUGAUUUUGUGAACCAUAUGGCGAAGCAGAAAGUGUUGUAACUGUUGUUGCCGACCUGAUAAAACCCAGCAGAGAAUAUACCAUUUGCUGAAAUGAGAACAUCAUUUGAUUUCUCCACGGAAAGAGAUGAGCCUUCGCUCAGAGUAUCAUACGUUUCAGAUGAAGAUGGAUAGAAAGUUAAUAGCAAAGCCAAAACAAAGAAACCAACUGUCCUAUCCAUGAGUUUUGGGAUAUGGUUUAUGUGCUCUGUUUCCUGAUCAGAUAUUUGCAAUGGAGAAUGCAAGUGUAUGGUGCUACCAGAGUUUAGAAAAUAAAUGUUUACAUCAUGACUCCUUGACUGGGUGAACGGGGAAAAUUUACAUUGCCCCUCGGGCCAAGUUUUGCUUGCGCCAUCGUGUUUGGUUUCUAAAAACAUUUCAUGUCAAUGUCAAAGACUCAAAAUAAUGGGAUGAAGACCCGGGACUCUUUGACUGGCCUGGUGGCCUUCACGAGUUUUAUUUAGUGGUGACGUAAAACUGGGGUCUGGUCUGAUGUUGAUUGGCCCAAGCAGGGAAAGAUCAAAUGGGAAACGACUUGUGGGCUGACUUUCCAUGCACCAAGGAACACUUCAUAGAAAUUAAUCGAGCCAUUGAAUUUCAUAAGUUCCCUCUUUGCAGAAUUUUGAAUAUUUAAAAAGAAUCUUAAUUUUUAAAACCUAAAUUUAUGGUUAAUUUUUAAAUGCUUAAUUAAUGCGAUUCAAGGUGUAAAACAUUUUCUUUUAUUGAAUCAAGAUUUAAUUUAAAAUAAAAUUGUUGGUAUUGCUCCCUCUUUUUUCUCUUUUUCUUAUUCAAUCUCUAUUUAUAGUUUCACAAUAGUAGUUUUCUUGCCACCUUUGUGGGUCAAGAGGAACAAAUGCUAAGAAUUGUAUUCAUCUGCUUUCUUGCAACACUCACUAAAUGUAAUAUUGUAAUAAGAUAUGGAACCUGAUUUUGAUUAUGUUGGUAUAAUUAUUGAUACAGUUGAUGUCUCAAAGUCAUUUUGGCAAGGACUUUCAGGGUAUGGUCGAAUCAAGCUUGUAUAACUAUUAAUUAUUAAUAUGGUUAAAAGAUUUCUUCGACAUUUUGGUGCUCAUAUAAUUAAUAUUAUUACAGCUGAGUCCUCCAAAAUCCCAUUUUUCUAAUUUUGACUUUUCAAGGUAUGAUAAGCAAAAUUUAAAAGGUUGUGACUCUUUAACAUUCCCUUUUGCCACAUGGUGCUUUAAGGUUGCUUUCUAUCAUUUCUCCAAUGGCUACUCAUGGGGAGCGGACAUUAAAACCUGUGAAUCGAUGACAACAAUUUUUCUUCUUUAGAGUCUCUUGUUUUUCCCUUUGCAAUAGUAUUUUUCUACUUAAGAGGCAACAUCGCUAAUUGGAGUAUAGUUAUUUACUCUAUGCCUUAUUAGGAUCUUGAUUUUAGGAUUUUUCGAACCUUGAUUUUAGAAUCCUUGAUUUUAGGAAUCUUUUUUUUUUCUCUUCACCGUUUUUCUCUUAUUUUGCAUCUUUCUUUUUUUGAAUGGUAACUUCUUGUAUAUAUAUGCAUGUAGAACAACAGAAUAAAUAUGCAAAAAUUUUGUCAUUCCAAGUCUAAAGUUUUCAUGGUAUCAAAACGCACUUGUUCUUACAUUUUUCUUGUUGACCAUCUCUGUCACUCUUACAUUUUUCUUCUUGUUCUUUGUUUGCUUUUCACCAUACAAAUGGUUCUACUAAUCACCAGAAAAUAGAUGAAAUUGUAGAUAAAAAUAAUUUAUCUCAUCUUCAUUGUUCUGACAACCCAAGAUCCAUGAUUGUACCCUAAUCUUUGACUGGUGAAAACUACUCAACCUAGAGCAAAGCUAUGCUUAUGGCCUUAAGUGCAAAGAACAAAGUAAGCUUCAUCAAUAGAUCGAUGAUGAAACCUUCUUUAAUGAAUUCAACCUAUGGUCUAUGGAAUUGCUAUAACAACAUGGUAAAAUCUUAGAUCCUUAACUUUUUACCUUAAGAUUUAGCCAAUAGUGUCAUUUACAUAACUAUAAGAGCCGAAAUUUGGUCUAAUCUCAAGGAGCCUUUUUUUAAACUCAAUGCCCCUCAUUUCUUUCAAAUUGAGAGAGAUAUUAUCUCUUUAAGACAAUAACAUUGUUUUGUUGUUACCUAUUAACUGAAAGCUUUAUGGGAUAAACUUACAAAUUUGCUAUUUUUUCCCACAUGUACGUGUUCAACAAAAAAAAAAAGUGUUGGCAGAUUAUUAAUAGCAACAUCAUCUUAUUUAGUUCUUAAUGAGUAUGAAUGAAUUAUAUUUGUUAUACAUGGACAAAUUCUACUUAUAGACCCUCUUCAUAAUUGAAACAACUAUAUUAUCUCAUUUUACAAAAAAAAAAAAAAAAAAAGGGUCAAGGAAUGUGGUUGUGAUAGGACAACCAAGCAUUGAAACCAUGCCUUAGUAGCACAACAAUUAUAUCAUAUGGCAAAGAAACCAAAUAAUAAGGAUCCUAAGUCACAAAAGGAGUGACAUUUUUGCUCCCAUUGUGGUUAGGUUGGACACACAAUUGACUGAUGUUAUAAGUUUCAUGGAUACCUUCUCAAACAUCAUAUUCACAAAGAGACUUCUCAACCUAUUGCAAAUCAAAUAAGUCAACAAUCAUUUUCCAUAAGCAACACUUCUAUUACCUCUCCUUUCAUUAUAGAACAAUUCCAACAACUCUUUGCUCUUCUCAAGCCUCAAGUCAUGACAAAUCAAGUAGGUAGUGGCUCUUCCACUACUCAACUCUCAAGUAUUUGUUUAAACUCUUCUUUUCAUAACACUUCUUAGAUAUUAAAUAGUAGUGCAACAAAUCACAUUAUGAGUUUUAUUACCCUUUUUUCUUCCAUAACAUCCACUACUUUUGCUACUAUUAAGCUUCCUGAUAGUAGUCUUACAUCCAUAACCCAUAUUGGUAUUGUUUCAUUAUCUUCAUCUCUCACUCUUCAUAAUGUUCUUUAUGUGUCUUUAUUUCUUUUUAAUCUUAUUUCAAUUAGCAAGCUCACUCAUUCUUUAAAUUGUUUUCUCACUUUCCAUUUUAAUUCAUGUCUUAUCUAGGACUUUACCUCAAGAAAGAUGAUUAACAAGGGUGAAAAAUGCAAUAGAUUAUACUAUUUUGUUUUUUAAUCAUUAUGAUAUUUGCCCACUUGCUAAGCAAACACACUUGCCCUUUCCUAGUAGUUUUAUCAAUACCUAUGCAAUAUUUAAUAUUAUUUAUUGUGACAUUUGGGGCCCCUCAUCAUACAGAGUUUAUUUAGAGUGCAAGAUUUUUUGUAACCAUUGUUGAUUAUUACAAACAUGUGACUUUAGUCUAUAUAAUGUCCCAUAAAUCUAAAACACAUCAUCUUUUACAAUAUUUCAUCAAGCUUGUCACCAAUCAAUUUGAUCAAAAGGUUAAGAAAGUUUGAUCUAAUAACGGGAAAGAAUUUGCUAUGACUAGUUUGUUUCAAGAGAAUGACAUUUUUCAUCAAACUAGUUAUAUGGAUACUCCCUAACAAAAUGGGGUUAUUGAACAUAAACAUCACCAUCUUCUUAAUGUUGCUCAUACUUUACAUUUUCAAGCACACCUUUCUAUCCAAUUUUGGGGUGAUUGUAUCCUGAUUACUACAUAUUUGAUUGAUAAAACCUGAUCAUCACUUCAAUUCGCCCAUACUCUCUAUGUAAAGCUUUUUUUCUAGAAAACCCUCAUAUCCACAUUGAGUUUUUGGCUACCUUUGUUAUGCUUCUACUCAUGUUUUAAAGAAAACAAAAUCUAAUUCACGUGUCAAAUGUUGUGUAUUUAUCAAGUAUCCUUAUGGUAACAAGGGUUGUAAAUUUUAUGACCUCAAUAAUCACACAACCUUUGUUUCACAUGAUGUAAUUUUUCAUGAAAAUAAUUUUUUCGUUUUCUCAUGUGUCUUCUACUCCUCUUCCACAUUUAGUUCUUUCUUUGCCACCACCAGAAUAUUAUUGAUUUUUCUUCCUCAAAUGUGUCACCACCAUCUAAUCCUCCCUCGUCACCUAUGUGUCUCAUAUUUUGUAUUUUUCCUUUUUUUUAUAUGGUAAUUUCUUCUUAUAUAUAUAUAUACACACAUGUAGAACAAUAUAAUAAAUAUACAAAAAAAUUUCCAUUGCAAAUCUAAAGUUUUUAUUACUUUUUUGCUUAGUCUUGAAAGUUUUAUUGUUUAAGGUUUUAUGAACAAGUUGCCUUUAGAUCCUUUUUUUCUCCUAUUUUUUGCUUUAUUUUAUCAUUUAUUGUAUUAUUGUUUGUUUUUUUGUUUUUGGUUUUGUAUUUUUUUUUUCUCUUGAUUGGGAGAUGUGGGAGGCUUUUUAUUAUCUUUCUGUUUGUUCUCUAUGUUUAGUUUUUUCUUAGGAAAACAAGUUAUUAAGCACUUGGGAAUUCUCAUAUCCUUGAAUGUGUUUUUUUUUUCUUUCUAGCAUGCCUUCAUGCAACCUAUAACUUGAUUUUCUUUGUUUAGGUUAGAGUCAUCCUAUUAUUGCUUGUGCUCAUUUGUACCUUAAGCUUAAAUCUGACUCUUAUGAAUUUGUCGUAUAUAUUCUAUUGAAAGUAUGUCUCUUUGGUUGAUCUCAAAGUGGAAGUCUCUUCAAACUCAACAUGAUCAAAAGGAGAGGCUAUGGCUCUACUCAAUGGGUAGAACAAGUCAUUUACCAGGAAAAGUAGUUUGAGUGGAGAGGAUUUGAAAUGUGGAUUAACCUUGCUUGAGAGCUUGAGAGCUUGAGAUGCAAGAGCCGGAUUUUUGUCAAAUUUUUCACAUUCCUCAGGAUAUCGAGCUUAAGCUUAUUGAGGAUAUGAAUGAAGCAUUAGACACUACUCACCUUGGACCCAAAUCUAAUUCAACAUAUGUUGUUAGAAAGCAUUUUAAUAUGGGCCUAUGGCCACCUCUUCCAUUGUUGGUUUAUCAAUUUUUAUAUUAUUUCCAAAUAAACCAAAUUCAUGUUUAUGCCGAUGUAAUUCAAAUUUUGAGGGGUGCAUUCCUUCUUGAUUAUUUGUAGGGGUUUGACAUUGGAUUAGAGGAUCGAUAUCCUCUUCACGUACAUCAUCAAACUUGAUUCUCAUAAGAAAUUUUUUUUCUAUCCUUGGAUCUCAUUUUCUUCGACUUGUAAUUGGUAUCCCUCAUACAAGCAAAGGGAUAAUAGGCACCAAUGUUAUUAUAUGUAGCUUAUGGGUAGGGACAUCAAUGGAGUGGGUUAGAGUUGGGUUACCCAUUUCCUACUCCAACUUGAUUAUUUACAUUUAUUCUCAUUUUGAAACCGAGCAUGGCAAGUAUUAAAAUUUUUCAUACUCUUCCCAUUCAAUUUAUUUUUUAUUAUUUUUAAUUUUUAAUUUUAUUAAAAAAAAUUAAUUAGACCAAAAAUAAAAUUAAUUUAUAAAUAAAUAAAAUUAUAAAUUUUUAUAAUUUAUUUUUUUGAGAUGUAGAUUUUUAUUUUAUACAUAUUAAAAUGAAGAAAAUGAAAAAAUAAUAAUUAAAUUUUCGUAUAUAUAUAAAAUUGGGGCAGGUGAGGUGGAAUAAGGAAAUACACAAACCUACCUCGAACUUGACUAGAAUUUAAAAAACAUUCUCUAAUCUGCCCUUAACCCAAAUGGCGCAAAUUGCGGUAUUACUCGGUGAUGGUUUCAUGAUCAGGAUGAUAUUCAGAAUAACACGUUUUGUAUUUCUAACUUCCAUCACCCCGCAUUUGUUAUGGCACUUGCAGCCACCCAAGGUUUGUAUUUCUAGCAAAAUCUGAGUAGAAGAUGUAUAAAUGGAUGAUCUCCGUAGGACUUCCUCUCUGAGUUGGUUCAUCUUCUAUAUGAUGGGCGUUGCCACCCUUCCCUAAUCCCGCUUCCUCUAACUAGUUUGUUGGCUGUUUUGACUCAAACCACGACUAGAUUUACAUAUUUCUUGAUCCACUUGAGACAAUGUCAUAAUGUGCUGCGCAGUGGCCGAAGAUCAUCUUCCAACAUGGAUUGCUGAUUAGCUCUUUCAAAUAACUUAUCUACUGUUUAAGGUAAUUUUAAUAAAAUAAGAGUUCGAGAAAAUAGUGUUUGGUAAGAUGGCUUCCUUAAGAGCUUUACAUGAUUGUGCCUCAUGCUGAUGCUAUCAAGUUGUAGUCUGAAUGUGUCAUGAAAUCCCGGGUCAUCUUAACAUUAAAAACGGUUGGCUACACAUUGUGAGUUUCAGGGCAAAAUAGUCCUUUGCUGUAAAAUAAUAUAAGUUUUAACCCCAUCGUAAAACUUAUGUUAAGUGAGAUUUCGGUUUUUUUUCUUUUUAAAUUUAAAAUUUAAUUAAAAAUAUAAAAUUAUAAAUUAUUGUUAAAAUUAAAACAUAUAAUUUAAUAAUAAAAAAUUUAUAUAUUUAAACUUAAUGAUUUAAUAUUAUUUCAAUAAAGAUAAAUUGAUAAAUUAACAAUCUUAAAAUAAUAAAGUUUUAUAAUAUAUAAAUAAGAUAUAAAAUUAUAUAAUUUAUUAAUUUAAGAUGUUUAAUUUGUUGUAUUUUUAAGAUAUUAAUUUAUUUGUAUUUUAAAAUAUUUAUCUUUAUUGAAAUAAUAGUAUUAUUUUAAAUUUCCAUAUAUAGAUUUUUCAUUAUUUUAAAACAUAUGUUUAUAAUUUUAUGUAAAAAAAAUACCUUGAAGAUACAUUUCAAAAUUAGUUAAUAAAAUUGAUUAAAAAAAGUCUACUACAAAAUCUAACUUUUAAUAGUUUCAUCAAAGUUACAAAAAAAAUACCUAUUAAACAUUUAUAUAGUAAAAAAAAAAAACGUCUCUCCCUAAUUGUAACAGGUAACACAUGCUAUAUAACUUAAAUUAAUAAAUUAUACAAUUUUAUAUCUUAAAUAUAUAAUAAAUUAUCUUUAUUGAAAUAAUAUUAGACCUUUUAAGUUUAAAUAGAAAUUUUUAUUAUUAUUAAAGUAUAUAUUUUUAACUUAUUUUUAAAGUAAAAAAAAAAAAAGUUAAAUGAAGCCCCAAUUGUUAUUCGAGACUUCAACUUAAUGUUACGAUGGUAAUAAAAGUGCUACUUUUAACAUAAGUUUUGCUGGGGGGCUAAAACUUAUAUUGAAAUGGUUAUUUUGCCCCACAACUCACACAUUGCUUCUGUCUGAGCACAGGUAGUGAUCAGUAGCAAAGGUCUCUGAUAGCUAACGAAAGUUAUAGGCGAAAUUUGUUGGUAAACAGUACUGGGACCAUGACAAUGUUAGGCACACUAGUAAAACAAGAACUGUUUGUAGGGCAAAUGAUCAUUUCCAAUUUCCGAAGUCUUGGCAAAAGUACAUCAGGUAAUAGAAAGGAUCCACAAUGCCCUCAUACAUAGUGAACUUCAACAUAAAGAAAUGUCCUGGAGAAUCAUGUUGCAAGAUGUGUUGAGGGAAUGGUGUAGCAACCAUAUUAUGGAGGACACAGAAAGCAGAGGUAGGCAAUGACUCUGUCACCGGCUUGAACUCCAUCUCAUAAUGAGAAGAUGUAUCCGCAGAAACCCGAAAUGUCAUUUCCCGAAUGCUGUGGGGGAGUCGGUUUAUCAACACAUGAAUGUCCCUGAAUUCCAACCUGAGCCACUAGUUUCCGGAUAUAAGAAAGUCAUCCUCGUUUAGAUGCUUGUAAGCUCCAUGGACAGGGCUUGCUGCAUUGGAUCCAACAUACGCACCAAGGAUUAAAAAAUCAAAUUAUUUCAACAAUCUAUCAUCUGAAAUUUUGCAUAUUGGUUGGGCCUUUCAAAAAAUUUAAGGGUAAUGUUAGGACAUAGAAUAAGUCUCCCGUGUGAAAGUAAUACAUUCUGCACCACUAGGGUAGGUUUGCCUUUGGUAAUAUAUGUAGUCUGCUUUACUUUUUAAAACAUCCAUAUAAAAAUACGAAAUAUUUAAAUAUGAUCCUUUAAUAAGUAAAUUAAUUUUAAAUAUCUUAUGUUCAAUUUUCAUUUUACAGAUUGUUCAAAAUAUAAAAAUCAUUAUAAUAAUUUUUUGAAUGAGUGUUACUUUAUAUGUUUUGUAUAAUAUAAACAUGUAAAUAAAAUUAAAAAAUAAAUUAUAAAUACAUCAUUAUUUCUUUUAUUUUAUUUAAUACAUCCAAACUAAGUAAAUCAAUAUAAAAUAUAUUUUCAAGUUCAGGAUAUUAUCACUGAAUAAUACAAAUUAUGUCAUAUAUAUAUAUAGACAUAUAUUUGUUUUUAAUUAAAAAAAAACUUUAAUAUGUAUUAUUACUUGUUUUAUCUUUUCCUAAAAUUUUUUCCAAUAUUUUUAUCAGUUUUUAUCAAUAAUCUAAGAAAUAAGUCAAAUGGGCCAUUUCAUCUGCAUAGCCCCAAAUAAAUCGAAUUUAUUUCUUAAAAAUUGAUUUUCAUAUAUUUAUUUUUAGUUUUUAAUUUUUUUUUUUCAAGAUUUAAGUUUUAUUUUGUGAUUUUCCUUCUGACAGGUUUGCCUAUCAUAUUUUUCCUUUCAUUGGUCCAAUAAUAAAGGGAAGGGGGAAGGGCAACAAAAUUCUUGGUGAAUGGUUCGAAAAUUAAAAAAUAAAAAAUGCCAAAAUUCAAGGUUGCCAGCAGCUUAACAAAGCAGGCAUGACAUGGAGUUGUAGGCUGUGGAUGCCAAUUUUUAACAUUUUGCAGCAUCUUCUACACUGAUAAUUGAGCAAGCUGUGUUGCAGAGCCGACCUUUGGGCUCCAUGGAUGCCGAUCCAGCCCAACCUCGCAUCCACCUUGAGUGUCUAUUCAUCAAAUGGCCCAGUUUAUAAAUAAAAGUCUUUACUCUAAUUUAAUAUAAUUUUUAGUUAAAAAAUAUUAAGUCACUAAAUUAAUUUAUCAAACAUAUUUAAUAUAUUUAAUAAUUUAAAUUAAAUAAUUAAAUUGAUUCAUCAAGUACUUUCAACAUUCUUAAACUGAGCGACGAGGUGUUUGGCACCAUCACCAUUCGUAUAAUUGAUUUUAAUGCUCAUGUGGGGUUUUGUAACUCCCAAUAUCUUCAUACGCUUAUCACCUGGUGUAAUGGGUACUAUGACAUAUUCAAUGAUAUUUAGGGAGCUUAUCCUCUCUUUUCAUCAAUCUUGCAUCACCCAUCUUCCCCAAAAUUAUAUCAAUAGGUGCUUGGAAAAUACUAACAUCUCCUUAGAGAUGAUUUAUAUAUAUCGCCUAAUGGGGGUUUUUGGUUGAGGCAGAAGGGGCAAAAUGUUUAGUUAAAGAAACUCGUAGAAAGUGCAGUUUGGUAGAGAGAAUUGACUCAUCUUUUAUGGGUCCUAAUAUUUUCAGUUUUGUGAGCAUGAUUCAUUUAACCUAAACUUCAAGUUAGUUAAGGUAUCAAACAAAAUCAUGCAGAGGACCCUGCUGCUUUUUUUGUUUCUGGCUCUCAAACAAAAUUCAAGUUUGAUUUUUCUUCCCCUAAAGAUGAUACCAACAGAAACGGUUGUGUCCUUUCUGUCUGCCAAAAGUUCCAACAAUUUCUGGGAAAUUUGUUUUUCAAAAACUAGAAAACACAACAAUCAACUAAGAGAAGUCGUAAGUGAUGUCCAGCUACCCACCGAAUGACCGACCCUCCCCUUGCAUUUGCACCGUCCGCCUAAUAAGCCAUGCCCCAUCCCAACAAGUGGGGGCCACAUGCCAUCGACGGCUACAACACUGCUCCUCCCAUCACUGUAGAUACUAACCAGAUCUUUAGUUUUAGUUUUCAACAGGUUCCGCAUUUAGUUACCUGAAUUGCUGUGUUUUGGGCACAAAGAUAUAAGCAUGCUUUCCCGGGAAAAAAAGUCGUCACCGAAUUUCAUUUUUCCCCAUUUUUUCGAUUUUCUAUUGAAAAGGCGGUUGCUUCUCAGAUUCUACCACCAACCACCAUAGCUCAUUCCUCUCAUUAACAAACCCUCUAGAUUUUCUUCCUUCCCCGUCUUUUCCACUGUACACUACCAAAAUUAUUUGUAUUUAAGAAGGAAAAAAAAAAAAAAAAGGGAACAAGAUUUCAAAAAAACACAGCUUGUUUUUUAAAUAUCCCGAUUCCCUCCGAGUCGACUCAUCGCUGCAACCAUAGGUAGGUUGUUCCUUCCUCUACUCGAUUUUGCCAAUUCCGAUACGCUUCAUCACUGCGUUCCAAAUAGCUUCAGUCUGCAAACACAGACCAUUUUGCUCCAUGCCCGACAUGUAGUUCCUCACUUCCUUUCUGAUCAUUUCUUGCAUCACAGCCAAGAAUUCGGGGGUGAAGAAAGGUUUCUCCGACAUACCUAAACCCAACUCACAGUUCUGGAUGUUUCGUGGGGAUCCAGGGUUUUGUUGCAGCUGUACAGGCGGUAUCGCCGGUGAUUGGAGAAUCUGGUUUUGGAUUUUAACAUGAUCGGAUCCUGAUAAAUGAUUUGACACUUCGCAAGAAUCGGAUCCAGGGAGAGAGAGACUGAGGGAUGUUGGGGGAUCGUUCGUCGAUGAGGCGGCCUCGAUUUUCUGAGUAGGUAGAACUAUGGGACCGGUUCUCGGCACUGGUCUAUAAACAAGCGAUGAAGCCAUGCCAGGAGCACUGGAAUCACUGAAUUCGGACCCCGAAGGACUACUUGGGCUAAGAUUAUGACCCGAAACCGUUGUGCCCGCACCCACACUAGCCGAUCUCUUAAGAGGCGGUUGUGCAUGCCCAUCGGCGAUCAUGUCCUCCGUUAUAGACGAGCAUUUCCGCUUCAAAGUUGAAUUCCAGUGGUUCUUUAUGGCGUUAUCCGUGCGACCAACGAGGAGACGAGCAAUCGUCGCCCAUUUGUUCCCGAACCUCGCAUGGGCUCUAAUGAUGGUCGCGUCCUCCUCCGGCGUAAAGGCGCGGUGCUCCACCUGCGGAGAGAGCUGGUUACACCAACGCAGCCGGCAAGACUUGCCGGACCGCCCAGGGAUGGAUUUGCUGAUCAAAGACCAGUUCCUAGGGCCGUGCUUCUGCACCAGUCUCUGCAACGCUUCGUCUUCCUCGGGGCUCCAAGGACCCUUGAUCCGAUCUAAAUCUUUCUUGGAAGACGCCAUGGAUUGAGAAGCCUAAAACGCCUACACGAAUUUGAGCCCUUAACUCUUAACAAAGAGAGGAAGAAAGG